GAUGAACGCUGGCGGCGUGCUUAACACAUGCAAGUCGAACGGAAAGGCCCAAGCUUGCUUGGGUACUCGAGUGGCGAACGGGUGAGUAACACGUGGGUGAACUGCCCUGCACUUCGGGAUAAGCCUGGGAAACUGGGUCUAAUACCGGAUAGGACCACGUCUUGGAUGUUGUGGUGGAAAGUUUUUUCGGUGUGGGAUGAGCUCGCGGCCUAUCAGCUUGUUGGUGGGGUAAUGGCCUACCAAGGCGUCGACGGGUAGCCGGCCUGAGAGGGUGUACGGCCACAUUGGGAGUGAGAUACGGCCCAGACUCCUACGGGAGGCAGCAGUGGGGAAUAUUGCACAAUGGGCGCAAGCCUGAUGCAGCGACGCCGCGUGGGGGAUGACGGCCUUCGGGUUGUAAACUCCUUUCGCUAGGGACGAAGCGUUUUUGUGACGGUACCUGGAGAAGAAGCACCGGCUAACUACGUG
rnacentral:rRNA from 1 species